UAAGCGACUAAGCGUACACGGUGGAUGCCCUGGCAGUCAGAGGCGAUGAAGGACGUGCUAAUCUGCGAUAAGCGUCGGUGAGGUGAUAUGAACCGUUAUAACCGGCGAUUUCCGAAUGGGGAAACCCAGUGUGAUUCGUCACACUAUCAUUAACUGAAUCCAUAGGUUAAUGAGGCGAACCGGGGGAACUGAAACAUCUAAGUACCCCGAGGAAAAGAAAUCAACCGAGAUUCCCCCAGUAGCGGCGAGCGAACGGGGAGGAGCCCAGAGCCUGAAUCAGUGUGUGUGUUAGUGGAAGCGUCUGGAAAGGCGUGCGAUACAGGGUGACAGCCCCGUACACAAAAAUGCACAUAUUGUGAGCUCGAUGAGUAGGGCGGGACACGUGGUAUCCUGUCUGAAUAUGGGGGGACCAUCCUCCAAGGCUAAAUACUCCUGACUGACCGAUAGUGAACCAGUACCGUGAGGGAAAGGCGAAAAGAACCCCGGCGAGGGGAGUGAAAAAGAACCUGAAACCGUGUACGUACAAGCAGUGGGAGCCUCUUAAUGGGGUGACUGCGUACCUUUUGUAUAAUGGGUCAGCGACUUAUAUUCUGUAGCAAGGUUAACCGAAUAGGGGAGCCGAAGGGAAACCGAGUCUUAACUGGGCGUUAAGUUGCAGGGUAUAGACCCGAAACCCGGUGAUCUAGCCAUGGGCAGGUUGAAGGUUGGGUAACACUAACUGGAGGACCGAACCGACUAAUGUUGAAAAAUUAGCGGAUGACUUGUGGCUGGGGGUGAAAGGCCAAUCAAACCGGGAGAUAGCUGGUUCUCCCCGAAAGCUAUUUAGGUAGCGCCUCGUGAAUUCAUCUCCGGGGGUAGAGCACUGUUUCGGCAAGGGGGUCAUCCCGACUUACCAACCCGAUGCAAACUGCGAAUACCGGAGAAUGUUAUCACGGGAGACACACGGCGGGUGCUAACGUCCGUCGUGAAGAGGGAAACAACCCAGACCGCCAGCUAAGGUCCCAAAGUCAUGGUUAAGUGGGAAACGAUGUGGGAAGGCCCAGACAGCCAGGAUGUUGGCUUAGAAGCAGCCAUCAUUUAAAGAAAGCGUAAUAGCUCACUGGUCGAGUCGGCCUGCGCGGAAGAUGUAACGGGGCUAAACCAUGCACCGAAGCUGCGGCAGCGACACUAUGUGUUGUUGGGUAGGGGAGCGUUCUGUAAGCCUGUGAAGGUGGCCUGUGAGGGUUGCUGGAGGUAUCAGAAGUGCGAAUGCUGACAUAAGUAACGAUAAAGCGGGUGAAAAGCCCGCUCGCCGGAAGACCAAGGGUUCCUGUCCAACGUUAAUCGGGGCAGGGUGAGUCGACCCCUAAGGCGAGGCCGAAAGGCGUAGUCGAUGGGAAACAGGUUAAUAUUCCUGUACUUGGUGUUACUGCGAAGGGGGGACGGAGAAGGCUAUGUUGGCCGGGCGACGGACGUCCCGGUUUAAGCGUGUAGGCUGGUUUUCCAGGCAAAUCCGGAAAACCAAGGCUGAGGCGUGAUGACGAGGCACUACGGUGCUGAAGUGACAAAUGCCCUGCUUCCAGGAAAAGCCUCUAAGCAUCAGGUAACAUCAAAUCGUACCCCAAACCGACACAGGUGGUCAGGUAGAGAAUACCAAGGCGCUUGAGAGAACUCGGGUGAAGGAACUAGGCAAAAUGGUGCCGUAACUUCGGGAGAAGGCACGCUGAUAUGUAGGUGAAGCGACUUGCUCGUGGAGCUGAAAUCAGUCGAAGAUACCAGCUGGCUGCAACUGUUUAUUAAAAACACAGCACUGUGCAAACACGAAAGUGGACGUAUACGGUGUGACGCCUGCCCGGUGCCGGAAGGUUAAUUGAUGGGGUUAGCGGCAACGCGAAGCUCUUGAUCGAAGCCCCGGUAAACGGCGGCCGUAACUAUAACGGUCCUAAGGUAGCGAAAUUCCUUGUCGGGUAAGUUCCGACCUGCACGAAUGGCGUAAUGAUGGCCAGGCUGUCUCCACCCGAGACUCAGUGAAAUUGAACUCGCUGUGAAGAUGCAGUGUACCCGCGGCAAGACGGAAAGACCCCGUGAACCUUUACUAUAGCUUGACACUGAACAUUGAGCCUUGAUGUGUAGGAUAGGUGGGAGGCUUUGAAGUGUGGACGCCAGUCUGCAUGGAGCCGACCUUGAAAUACCACCCUUUAAUGUUUGAUGUUCUAACGUUGGCCCGUAAUCCGGGUUGCGGACAGUGUCUGGUGGGUAGUUUGACUGGGGCGGUCUCCUCCUAAAGAGUAACGGAGGAGCACGAAGGUUGGCUAAUCCUGGUCGGACAUCAGGAGGUUAGUGCAAUGGCAUAAGCCAGCUUGACUGCGAGCGUGACGGCGCGAGCAGGUGCGAAAGCAGGUCAUAGUGAUCCGGUGGUUCUGAAUGGAAGGGCCAUCGCUCAACGGAUAAAAGGUACUCCGGGGAUAACAGGCUGAUACCGCCCAAGAGUUCAUAUCGACGGCGGUGUUUGGCACCUCGAUGUCGGCUCAUCACAUCCUGGGGCUGAAGUAGGUCCCAAGGGUAUGGCUGUUCGCCAUUUAAAGUGGUACGCGAGCUGGGUUUAGAACGUCGUGAGACAGUUCGGUCCCUAUCUGCCGUGGGCGCUGGAGAACUGAGGGGGGCUGCUCCUAGUACGAGAGGACCGGAGUGGACGCAUCACUGGUGUUCGGGUUGUCAUGCCAAUGGCACUGCCCGGUAGCUAAAUGCGGAAGAGAUAAGUGCUGAAAGCAUCUAAGCACGAAACUUGCCCCGAGAUGAGUUCUCCCUGACCCUUUAAGGGUCCUGAAGGAACGUUGAAGACGACGACGUUGAUAGGCCGGGUGUGUAAGCGCAGCGAUGCGUUGAGCUAACCGGUACUAAUGAACCGUGAGGCUUAACCU
rnacentral:rRNA from 1 species